GGUCCCGUAGCUCAACUGGAUAGAGCGGCGGACUUCUAAUCCGCAGGUUGCAGGUUCGAGUCCUGCCGGGAUCGCCA
rnacentral:tRNA from 1 species